CGUAUCACAGAAGCAAUGGCGAAAACUGAAUAUAAGGAGAAGGAUGGGAAAAAACAACAACUCUACGACCUUCUAGCUGAGUUGCGUAGUAACGAAAAAGAAAAAAAGGAAAUGGAAGAACGUUUGAAGGAAUUAACCAAGAAACUAGAUGAUGCGUCCUCUUCUAAAUAAAGGAAUAAAGCUUGAUCGGAUUCGGAUCGUAGAAAAUACAGAAAGUAAUUAAUUAUUAGUAAUUUUUAUAUUAUUGUCGUUUAUUUUCAACCUUAAAAACCUUCAAUGAAAUAAUUUGAUUUAAGUCUUACUGGGACAAUGAAUAUAUGGUUUGUCAUGUCAUAUAUCUUUGUUUUCAAUAAAUGAAUUAUUAAUCUUAAAUA